rnacentral:rRNA from 1 species
UACGUAGGGCGCAAGCGUUGUCCGGAAUUAUUGGGCGUAAAGAGCUCGUAGGCGGCUUGUUGCGUCGACUGUGAAAACCCGCGGCUUAACUGCGGGCUUGCAGUUGAUACGGGCAGGCUAGAGUUCGGUAGGGGAGACUGGAAUUCCUGGUGUAGCGGUGAAAUGCGCAGAUAUCAGGAGGAACACCGGUGGCGAAGGCGGGUCUCUGGGCCGAUACUGACGCUGAGGAGCGAAAGCAUGGGGAGCGAACAGG